rnacentral:rRNA from 1 species
UACGUAGGGUGCGAGCGUUGUCCGGAAUUAUUGGGCGUAAAGAGCUCGUAGGCGGUGUGUCGCGUCGGCCGUGAAAACCUGGGGCUCAACUCUGGGCGUGCGGUCGAUACGGGCAUCACUUGAGUUCGGCAGGGGAGACUGGAAUUCCUGGUGUAGCGGUGAAAUGCGCAGAUAUCAGGAGGAACACCAUGGCGAAGGCAGCACUCUGGGACGUGACUGACGCUGAGACGCGAAAGCGUGGGGAGCAAACAGG